GACGUAGGGUGCGAGCGUUGUCCGGAUUUAUUGGGCGUAAAGAGCUCGUAGGCGGCUCGUCGCGUCGACCGUGAAAACUCAGGGCUUAACCCUGAGCUUGCGGUUGAUACGGGCGGGCUAGAGUUCGGUAGGGGAGACUGGAAUUCCUGGUGUAGCGGUGAAAUGCGCAGAUAUCAGGAGGAACACCGGUGGCGAAGGCGGGUCUCUGGGCCGAUACUGACGCUGAGGAGCGAAAGCGUGGGGAGCGAACAGGAUUAGAAACCCCCGUAGUCC
rnacentral:rRNA from 1 species